AUGCAAUUCGUCAAGGUGUUCUUUGCCAUACUUGGUUUUCUAUACUGCCGUCUGCCUAAGGAACUCAAGAUGGAGCUUGCCAUAUCUGCAGUGACAGGUGAACUCGUGAGCCGAUUCGUCUCCUACCUCGCCGACAGGUACCACUCGAGCCGGCGUCCACAGCCGGGAGAGAAGCAGCUGAAGAAGCUGCAGAAGCUGCUCCUGAGAGCUCGCACGGUUGUCGAGGAGGCGGAUGGGCGAUACAUAACCAACUCCGGGAUGCUAGCGCAGCUCACCAUGCUUGCGGACGCCAUGUACCGAGGCUACUGGGCACUAGGUGCGUCCAACUACAUCUCACUGGAAGAGACCACUACUAUGGGAGAGGAGGAGGGGGAGGAUCUCAAACCAUCUCCUCUCAAACGCCUUCGCACGGUUCAUAGUAUUGCUAGAAAGAACAGGGCCAUGCACCUUCUUGAGCUGGAAGGCACGUUGGAGAGCUUGGAGAAUGUCGUCGCCGGCAUGAUGGAGUUUGUCGUUCUCUUGGGCGGAUGCGACCGUAUGCUGCAUCGACCGUACGAUGUGUACCUUUUCAGUGACAAGAUCAUGUUCGGACGCCACACCGAGAAGCAGAAGCUCCUGAACUUCAUGCUGCAGCACGUCCCUGCUGGCGGUGUGCCGGCUGUUCUCCCGAUCAUCGGCGCUCCAGUGGUCGGAAAGAGGACUCUCGUCGCCCAUGUAUGCAAGGACGAGAGGGUCCGCUCACACUUUUCUUCGAUUCUGCAUCUGAAUGGAGAUUCCUUGGGUAGAAUCGCGGAACAUGGUGGUCUCAUGUCAGGAAAUAUACUGGUGGUUGUCGAGCUUGUUUCAGACGUCCACGAGGAGGAUUGGGCCAAGUUCUGUUCAACAGUAGCAACAAGCAUGGAUAUUGGAAGCAAGGUGAUCAUCAUCAGCCGCCUUAAAAAUACAGAGCGACUCGGAACCGUUGAGCCAAUCUUCCUCAAAACCCUGUCAUACGAGGAGUUCAGCUACCUAUUCAAGACACUAGCAUUCGGGAGCGCGAACCCGGCACAGCACCCACGGUUAGCGCGGAUAGCAGACGAGCUAGCCAGGGAAUUCCAAUCCGAAUGGUCAAUCGCCACUGCAAAUCUGUUUGCGGACAUCAUGAGGAGGAACCUCAGCGUCCAUUUCUGGCUCUGCAUCCUGAGCGGGCUGAGAAGGGUAGUCGAGAGGAACAUAUCCCUGUUUGGGGAGCACCCAAAGCUCCUCGCCCGGAGACGCCACCAGAUAGACGUUACUGACUUGGUCUUGCAUCCCAUGGAUUCUCCACUCCGCCUCAUGCCUUUCUGUACCAGUGGCAGCAGCCGCACUGAAGUUACGGUGGAAAGGGAACUGCUACCGAGGGUGAGGUUCGGGGAUCUGGUGAUGGAUCCUGGAGUUAGACCACAAGGGGAUUUCAAUGUGGUUGCGUGGGAAUCAAGAUUGCCGCCUUACACCUCGUUUGUUCAUUUCGCUACAAGUGGAAAUGAUGCUCCACGUGCGGCGCAACAGAGUGCUCCCCUGUCUGGGAGGAAGCGUGCAGCGGUGCCUUUGUAA
rnacentral:rRNA from 1 species